GGAGAGGUGGCUCAAAGGUUAAGAGUGCUGGCUGCUCUUCCAGAAGUCCUGGGUUCAAUUCCCAGCACCCUCA
rfam:Mesocricetus auratus contig114195, whole genome shotgun sequence.